UAGGGAAUAUUGGUUAAUGUGCGAAAGCGCGAACCAGCAACGCCGCGUGUGCGAUGAAGGCCUUCGGGUCGUAAAGCACUUUUUGCAGGGAAGAGGAAGGACGGUACCUGCAGAAUAAGUCUCGGUUAACUACGUGCCAGCAGCCGCGGUAAAACGUAGGAGACGAGCGUUAUCCGGAUUUACUGGGCGUAAAGCGCGUGCAGGCGGCAUGGCAAGUUGGAUGUGAAAGCUCCCGGCUUAACUGGGAGAGGUCGUUCAAUACUGCCAGGCGUGAGAGUGGUAGAGGGAGGCGGAAUUCCGGGUGUAGUGGUGAAAUGCGUAGAUAUCCGGAGGAACACCAGUGGCGAAAGCGGCUUCCUGGCCCAUUUCUGACGCUCAGACGCGAAAGCUAGGGUAGCAAACGG
rnacentral:rRNA from 1 species